rfam:Myotis davidii contig321145, whole genome shotgun sequence.
GCCAGUUUGGCUCAGUGGAUAGAGCGUUGGCCUGUGGACCAAAGGGUCCCAGGUUCGAUUCCGGUUAAUGGCA